rnacentral:rRNA from 1 species
AGUACACGUGAGUGACCUGCCUUUUAGACUGGAACAACUUACCGAAAGGUGAGCUAAUGCCGGAUGAGUUAUAUAAGUGCAUGUUUAUAUAGGAAAAGUUGGGGAGACCUGACGCUGAAAGAUGGACUCGCGUCCCAUUAGCUAGUUGGUAGGGUAAUGGCCUACCAAGGCGACGAUGGGUAGCCGGCCUGAGAGGGUGGCCGGCCACACUGGGACUGAGACACGGCCCAGGCUCCUACGGAAGGCAGCAG